rnacentral:rRNA from 1 species
GACGAACGCUGGCGGCGUGCUUGACACAUGCAAGUCGAACGGAAAGGCCUGCUUUCCCUUGUGGAUUGCGGGUACUCGAGUGGCGAACGGGUGAGUAACACGUGAGUGAUCUGCCCCCAACUUGGGUAUAAGCCUGGGAAACUGGGUCUAAUUCCCGAUAGGACUGCAGGGUGGUGCCUGUGGUGGAAAACGAUUUUCUAGUGGUUGGGGAUGAGCUCGAGGCCUAUCAGCUUGUUGGUGGGGUAAUGGCCUACCAAGGCGGCGACGGGUAGCCGGCCUGAGAGGGUGGACGGCCACAUUGGGACUGAGAUACGGCCCAGACUCCUACGGGAGGCAGCAGUGGGGAAUAAUGCACCAUGGGCGGAAGCCUGAUGCAGCGACGCCGCGUGGGGGAUGACGGCCUUCGGGUUGUAAACUCCUUUCGACCGCGAGGAAGCCACCUGGUUGGAAGGGUGGUGACGGUAGUGGUAGAAGAAGCAACGGCUAACUACGUG